AAAAUGAGUUUAAAUGGUAAAUUUUUAGGUUUUAUAAACAAAAUGUGUUUAAAUAAAAUGAUUUCAUAAAUGGUCUUGAAAUUGAAUGAAGGCUUUGAAAAUGGAGUAAUUGGAUACCAUUUGAUGUAUUGUGAAUUUAUGGUUCUAAUUGAUUGGCUUAUGACAAUAUUGGCAUGAAUGGCUGAAUUAGUAUUUGUGUUGAAAUGUAUAAACUGUUGUUUGCCUUGAUAGGCUGGAUAAUGAUAAAAUUGUCAUAUCAUGCUGUUGAAUUUUUAUUGUAUGGUGGGUUUAGCUUGCUGCAAUGGGCUGGUUCUGUGGACCAACCUAUUAGAAGGGCACGAAACUUGGUCAUAUAUAUGUACCUCGAUUGGAGAGGCGCGUAGGGUAACUCUCGAGGUCAAACUUUAGAGUUCACUUCACGCCCAACCACCAUGUGAGGGGAACUCAGCCAACCCCAAGGAACGACUAUGUUUUCAAAAUAAAAACAUGAUUUAUGCGUACAUGACUUUUUAUCAGCCUUGGCGGACUCGGUUGGGAUAGCCCUCAAUCAAGGCAUCCCUGAUAACUAGGUAUAAAAAUGAUUUUUGGCACGAGCUAAAGUUUUAAGAAAUUCAUAAGCCAUGUUAAUUACUUGAUUUAUAUGAAUUGAUUUUAUUUGGUUGAAACAAGUUGAAAGGUGAUGAAUUCCAGUAUGUUAAACUGUUUUAUCUAUCUCCAUUUACUCGACUUUAGAUGGUUUAGAUGGUAUCUAUUUACUCACUGGGAUUUUAUAAUCUCACCACCCUCAUUUUCAACCAUUUCAGACCCGAGGUAGCUAGUGGUUAGCAGAUAUCGUCAAGGAUUAUAGUCGGCUUAACUACUCCAAAAAUUGUAGGCUUACUACCUUUGUGCACUUUUGUUCCUUGUGGGCCCACGAGUCACUGUAAAGUAAAUUUCAUAUCCCAAUUAUCUGUAUUGUAGUACAUAUGAAUUUAUUUAGCUUUUACAUUACAAAAAUUAUUUAUCGAUGACUCUAUAAAUAUUGUUUUACAAGAAAUUAGAAUAUUUUAUUGAAUAUUUUUAUUUUAUUCAAAUAGUUGUAAUAUCAUUUUUAAUAAAUGUUUU
rnacentral:lncRNA from 1 species